rnacentral:lncRNA from 1 species
UCCCAUUUGUUUAUUUUUGCUUUGAUUUCUGUUGCUUUGGGAGACUGAUGUGAGAAAACAUUUGUAGGGUUGAUGUCAGAGAAUGUUUUGCCUAUGUUCUCUUCCAGGGGUUUGAUGAUGUCUUGUCCUACAUUUAAGUCUUUAAGCCAAUUUGAGUUUUUUUUCGUGCAUGGUGUGAAGGUGUGUUCCAGUUUCAUUGAUUUGCAUGCAGCUGUCCAGUUUUCCCAGCAAUACUUGCUGAACAGACUGUCUUUUUCCCAUUUUAUGUUCUUGCCUCCCUUUGUCAAAGAUUAAUUGACCAUAGGUGUUUGGGUUUAUUUCUGGGUUCUGUAUUCUGUUCCAUUGGUCUGUCUGUCUGUUUUGGUACCAGUACCACACUGUCUUGAUGACUGUGGCUUUGUCAUAUUGCCUGCGGUCUGGGCGAGUUAUGCCUCAUGCUUGGUUUUUGUUCCUCAGGAUUGCUUUGGCAAUUCUGGGUCUUUUGUGGUUCCAUAUACAUUUUUGGAUUGUUUGUUCUAGUUCUGUGAAAAAUGUCAUGGGUAAUUUGAUAGGGAUUGCAUUGAAUCUGUAGAUUGUUUUGGGUAAUGGAAAGAUAUUCCAUGCUCCUGGGUUAGAAAAAUUAAUAUUGUAAAAAUGGCUAUACUACUCAUAUAAUAUUUAUUUGCAAUAAAGGAAACUGAUACCAGAUUCUGUUGUACAGUGUUAUGUUCACAUAAAUCGCUGCAAUAUUAUCUUUUAAGACAAAAAAAAAUCUUUUUUUUUUGGUCUUUUGUCUUUUUAGGGCCGCACCUAUGACAUAUGGAGGUUCCCAGGCUAGUGGUCAAAUUGGAGCUGUAGCUGCAGGCCUAUGCCACAGCCACAUAAAUGCAGCAUCUGAGCUGCAUCUGCAAACUACACCACAGCUCAUGGCAGCUCUGGAUCCUUAACCCACUGAGUGAGGCCAGGGAUCAAACCUUCAUCCUCAUGGAUGUCAGAUUCAUUUCCGCUGAACUGUGAUGGAAACUUCAAACAAAAAAUCUUAAUGGUACAUACCAUGUGAAAUUCCAUAUCUCCUUCUUUUUGUCUUUUUAAAGUGAUAAACAUUUAAACAAUUUUUCCAAUUUUUUCAGGCCUACCUGUACAUAUUUCUCCCUUUAAUACUUAUAUACAGGUACAGAGACUGUUUUCUACCAACAGAAAAGAACCAGAUGUGAAUUUGUCUUUGCUUUAAGUUAACAUAGUCACAGUCAUAGUCAUUUUUAUGUUUUAAACAUGAUGGUGUUAUGGAAUUAUGCAGUAUACCAUGACGGCAGUAGUGCACAUGACCAGAAGCCUUCAGACUCUCUGGUGGGAGGAAUUUGGCUGGGUACGUCUUUGCCUGUUGCUUUUGUUGUUCUGGUGAAGCUGGUCUGACUUCCCUUCCUCUCUUUUCAGGGCCUAAUAUUCUCAGGGCAUCUUUAAGAUCCCCCCACUCCCCCUGCAACUUCCUAUUGCUCAGAAGGUUCUUUUGUUCACUGUUCUAUUUGGUUGUAAUAUUUGACCUUAUUCUCCCAGUGUUAGAAGCACUGCAUUCAUUGGCAGUUUUGUUGGUUCUGCCAUGUGAGAUGGCUUCCUGAGAAUAUUUUUAUUUCUUCUGCUUCAGCAGAGAGAGUUUUCCUAAUCUUCGGCUGUGCACUUCAGCUGGCAAAGAAAUGCUCAAUAAGAAGGACCAGCAUUUUCUCCUCCUCAUCUAGGGCAUGACAACUUCUGCACUAUUUAAGCUUUGCAGAUCAUUCAUGGUUUUGCUGCCCUUGAUGGCUGACAAGGCAUCUCUGAUGUGGGUUUUGAGAGACACUUCUUGGAUUAAAUAUAUUUUCUUCUUUGAAUUUCUUAAAAAUACAGUCCUAGUCUUUGAACAGAUGAACUGAUGGUGACCAUUUUAUCUCUGACAUCUACACUUUUGCUGGGACAAUCUUGAUGGAAGUACCAGAAAAUCUCAUGUUUUACAUGUUGACCCAUUUUCUGCAUGAUGUCUCCCACAGUCCAAGUGGGUGAAGAGAUUGAAAUAAUCUGUUCUGGACAGAAGUGACGAUGAAGAAAAGGGCUGACCAGAUGAGGGGGAGUAGAAUGGAGAUGUCUUAGGAGCAGAUAAUUAUUAUUUCCAAAGGUUUUAUGCAGCUUCUUAAUAAUCUCUGUCUUAUCAUUGAUAUGGGUAUGAAACAUUUUCUUCAAAAUAAUAUUUUUAAGGGUUUUAAAUAUCCAAAUCCUGAAGCAGUGAGAUUAUCUUUGUUCCAGCAGCAUGUAUAAUUUUCUUUUAGUUUCUUCUUCCUUUUUUGAUAAGUCUUUUGAUGUAUAGACUAUUUUCAGAGGAAUUUGUUCAGCUAGUUUUAUCUCAUCAGCCUCUUUCUGUAUGACUUUAAUAAUUGUAAUGUAUGCUUCAGUGGUUCAAUCCGGGGUCAUGAUUCCACUGUUACCAUGGAUAAUGACAGACGUCCUUGAAUCCCAAAAUUCUUCCUUCUAUGAAUGCCCAUGCAGGAGAGGGCUUUUUGGUUAUUCUAACUAUUCUUAUUAGAAUAGUUAUAAUUUAUCUGGUCUUAAAUAGCCUGGCAUUCUAAUGGUUGCAUAAACCACUCCGGAUCUGCAGAGAAAAACAAUCUGUUUGGCAUAAGAAGAUCCCCCAAGGGGAAGUUCUUGCUCCUUGGAAAAGUGGUCUUCACACUGCAUGUGCUGAUGGGGCCAAAAGAAUUUUACUCUUUUACCCGGGAUGUAGGAAAUACUUUGACAGUGUAGUUUUCAAACUGAUAAACACUUACUAACUCAAUGGAUAUUUUUGCCUCUUUAUCUGUUGCAUAUGUUAUAACAACAAACGCAAUUUCCGUUUUACAUGCUGUGUCAAAUUUAGAUUUCCAAUCCACAUUGUUUAUUGUUCCAUUCUGUGCCAAAAGUCCAGGCAACAGCUACCAAUGGAGGUAAGGAGAUUCUUUUUUAAACGGAUUUUAAAAGACAGAUUUAUUGAGUUAUAAUUGAUAUGCGAUAAGCUGAAUAUAUUUAAUGUGGUUGAUUUAGUAAGUUUUAACAUGGGUACACAAUUGUGAAACCAUCACCACAAUCAAAGUAAUGAGCAUUACCAUUACUUCUGAAAGUUUUCUUGUGCCAUUUUGAUUCUAAAUUGUUUUGCCUGUUAGCUUUUCAAAGACAGAAAAACCAACUCUCAUAACUUCCCAUGGAAUUCUCCACUAUACAAAGGCAUCUUUUAAAAAAAAUUUUUUUUUUUGUCUUUUUUUUGUUGUUGUUGCUAUUUCUUGUGCCGCUCCCGCGGCAUAUGGAGGUUCCCAGGCUAGGGGUCGAAUCAGAGCUGUAGCCACCGGCCUACGCCAGAGCCACAGCAAGCGGGAUCCGAGCUGCGUCUGCAACCUACACCACAGCUCACGGCAACGCCGGAUCCUUAACCCACUGAGCAAGGGCAGGGACCGAACCCGCAACCUCAUGGUUCCUAGUCGGAUUCGUUAACCACUGUGCCACGACGGGAACUCCUUAAAAAAUUUUUAUGGAAGUAUAGAAGUAUGUUUAAUUUACCAAAAAUAUCUUGAUGAAACAAAUAGCACAAUGCUAAUGGGGGUAGCUACAUUUGAGCAUGGCUCAGUCUGACAAAUGCAGCUUCCUAUGAUUGUAUUUUGGACUACUUAUCUCCUAUUUUAUUCUUGAUUUCUUUGUUCUUAUUUUUGUUUUUGUUCUCCUUUCUUCUUCCUAUUUCCUUUCUCUUCCUUCUCCUCCACGUUUUCCUCUUCCAUCUGUGCCCACCUCCUAUCCUGACCUUCUGCCAGCCCCAUUUCCCUUCCCCAACUCCCAUCAGCCUCCCAUCAGAGUAGCAGACCAAACCUGUUCUAUAUUUUAUACCGUGAUAGAUGCUCAAAUCUAUUUGAAAAGGGAAAAUUCAAAGUACCAUACGUCCCAUAUGCAACCACUCCUAACAUUAUUUUAAACAAAUGGUAUCAUUCUCUCUAUACAGUUCUGCAAUGAGUUUUACAUGCUUCCCUAUAGCUAGUACUCUUUAUUUAUGUACAUGUCAUUUCUAAAAGGCUCAUUUUUAAAGUUGCCUAAUGUUACAUCAAUUUUCUGUCAAAUAACAUCUUCCGUUAAACAAUUCUGCUACUAACAUUUUAAACAGGUAUCUUUUUAUGCAUGUAUCUACCAUAUCCAAUGGAACCCAUUGUUGCAUUGAUGUAUAUAUUUAAAACUUUUUUGGUUAAAUAUAGGAGAAUUUCAAAAAUGUUGCAAAAUUUAUACUCUAGCAACAGCGUCUGUGAAUAAUAUGCAAUAUUAUACCAUUUUAAAAAUAAAAAUAAUGAAUAACAUGUGGUGGGUAUACCAUAAUAAUUUUAGCUAAAAUAACAAUUUUUUUUCUCUUUUUUGGCCACCCCACAGCAUAUGGAGUUCCCAGGUCAGGGAUCAGAUCUGAGCCACAGUUGUGAUCUACUCUGCAGCUGUGGCAAUGCUGGAUCCUUAACCCACUGUGCCAGGCUGGAGAUCAAACCUGCAUCCCAUUGUGCCACAGUGGGAACUCCAAUACAAAAUAUUUUUAACAAUAGGAAAUGUUUCAAAAAUUUACAAAAGCAAGCUAGCCAGCAACUUGACCUUAAUAAGCAUUACAUUUUGAAAAGGCAGAUGAGACCUGGGCAAAUAUUUCCACUUGCAAGCUUUAAAAUAUACCUAAAAGUGUUGGAAUUCAUUGGUGUAUUUUGGGGAAACAUUUUUUUUGUUUGUUUGUUUCUGCUCUUUUAGAAAACAUACAGUAUGGUGUAGACAAGUUUCAUAAAAAUGUUUUAAUGGAAAGAAAGGUUUUGAGCUUAUGGAAAAAAGUUUUGGUUGGUAGCAAGAGCUGGGCCAAAAGUCAACCAUGAAAGUGAGGUACACAGGCCCUGGAAGUUAUCUAGCCAUUAUUUGAUAGAAUGGAAACUGAUUGUGAAUCAUAAGGCUAAGAAAACACUCCUCUUGGUAGGUGGGUUUGAAUUUUUCUAAACCUUAUAGCAAAUAUUUAGAAGUUCACAUUUGGAACAAAAAGAAAUUGAAAGUCACUGUAGCUUUCUAAGAGAGGGAAUGAUGUUAUCCAAACAACAUUUAUGGAAGAUUAUUCCAGCAGCUGUGUUGGACUUCUUUAGUUGCCUUUCAGUUUAUUGCCUGAUUGCAAGUCGCAUUUCAAAAUAUGGCAGAAGAAACAUUUAAGAAAUUGAUUUAAAAUGUCUCAUCUGUAAAAAUGCAUAACAUGCUGGUGAAGUAUAUUGUAUAUAUAUUUUUAUCUUAAAACAAACUAAUAUUAAAUUUUUGGAUAAUUUGAUUAUAAUCCAUGUCCCUCACAAGAGAGAAAUAAUCCAGGUGGUUUCCGAAAGAUCUCUUACUAAAUUACAUGUAAAACAAGUAAGUUUUGUCUUCAAAUGUGCUCCAAACACUGAGAAGCUGCCUGAUAGGGCCCUCUUCUCCAUUUUCAAAUGGAAUUACUUUCCAUAUAUUAGUUUAGAGGGAAAUAACAUGAGUAACUUUGCUUUAUAUGAGUCCUUCAUAUACUUUUGGAAACGACUGUCCCAAGUCUAGGUAGAAAUAUAAUUUAUGGAGGCCUAGUUGAUUAAAUAUAUUUACAUCUUCACAAAUGUUCAGAGCCACUUGUUUUGGAGUGAAUUGUGUACUCCCAAAAUGCAAAGGUUGAUGUCCUAACUCCCAAUACCUCAGAAGGUGAUUAUAUUUGGAGACAGGAUCUUUGAAGAGGACUUAAGUUAAAAUGAGGUCAUUGAGGUGGGCCCUAAUGCAAUAUGAAUGGUAUCCUUAGCAGAAAAAGAAAUUUGGACACAGACACUUACAGGGGGGAGACAAUGUGAAAACACAGGGAGAAGAUGGCCAUCUAUCAACAAUUCAAGGACAUAGGCCUAGAAGAGAUCCUUCCUUUGUGGCUCUCAGAAGGAUCAAUCCUGCUGACACUUUGAUCUCAGACUUACAGCCCCCCAAACUGUGACACAGUAUAUUUCUUUUGUUUAAGAAACCCAAUCUGUUAUUUUGCAGCCCUAGAAAAUGAAUACAGUUAUAUAUUUCCUCCCAUUUCUAAGUUUUCUAAAUAAGAAGGAAUUCAGGCAGAUUUUUAUGCAAUAAAACCUGCUAUAAUGAAUAUUGAAAAAUGAAAUCAACUCAUUUGUUCAACAAUAGAGGAGUGGUUUUGUAAUUUCUGAUCUAGAUAUAUAAAACAAUUACAAUUAUAUUUUAAACAAAUACAUAAUGACAGGAAAAUCAUGAAAAAAUGUUAAAAGAAGAAGUGGUCGAUAACGCUAUUUACAUAAAGAUCCUACUUUGUAAAAAUAAUUUUAUUUGUUUAGACAAAAGAGUAGAAUGAAUCUAUCAAAAUGUAACCUGCUAAUUGAUGUUGUCUCUUGGCAGUGGUGUUUACUUUCUUACUUUUCUGUAUUUUUUUGUGUAUCUACAUUUAAAAUAUUUUUGAUAUUAUAAGAUGUUCUUAUUUAGAUAAAAUAAUCAGAAAUGGAAUAAAAGCAAAACACCCAACUAAGUUUUAAUGUUAAUAACGUAUUUUUACCUUUUGAGUGUAUAUUUUUAUAUGUGUGCCUUUAUGCAAGUAUGUAUAAAAUAACAACUGCUUCUAUUUUUAUUUUAAAUAGGUCAUCUCUACUGGAUUCAAAGUUUAUGGGAUAGAGGAAAAUAUCUUUUAGGGCACUAGCACCAAUUAAGAUGGAAGUAAUUAUCAUUGCUCUGUCUUAAAGUCCAGAGAAACUCUCUCUUGCCAUCUAUAAUCUUUGACCUCAUACAGGAGGAUAUUUAAUUUCAGACACUGUACUCUUCAUUUUUAGAAUUUUGAUUUCUUAAUUUUCAGCUGAGAUUCUUCAUCUGUACACUCAUGACCAGAUUUUCCUUUAAAUUCUUGAAACAAUUAAUAAUAGCUGCUUCAAAAUCUUUUACUGAUUCCAGUGUUUGACUCACCUUGUACUCUGGUUCUAUUGACUAGUUUUGCCAUUCACUCUUGGUCAUUAAAAAAUCUACUAUUUUUUAAAAUAACGUGUUCUACAUUGUAGAUGACACAUUGUAGAAACUGGAUUCUGUUGUCUUCCACUGAAGAUGGAACUCUAACUUUUUACAUGAAUUAUUGUGCAAAGGAUAAAGAGAAAUAUGCAAAUUUCUUAUUCCUAGUUUUGAGGAAUAUUAGAUCCAGGGUUUAUGUUGACAUUGAUAUGUGGGAGCUUAAAGUUUCAUCAAGGUUCCCCUUUUAGAAUGGAGACUUGGAAUUCCCACUGUGGUGCAGUGGAAACGAAUCUGACUAGGAACCAUGAGGUUGAGGGUUCAAUCCCUGGCCUCUCUCAGUUGGAUUAAGUACCCAGCAUUGCAGUGAGCUGUGGUGCAGUUUGCAGAUGUGGCUCAGAUCUGGUGUUGCUGUGGCUGUGGUGUAGACCGGCGGCUAUAGCUCUGAUUAGACCCCUAUCCUGGGAACCUCCAUAAGCCAUGGGUGUGGUCCUAAACAGACAAAAAACAAAUAUAAAUGUGUAUUAAUAAAGCACCAUGCAGGUUUCAUAUCUUAAAAAGGAAAAAAGAACAGAGACUUAAGGGAAGUAUGUAAUAAAUGGAAUUCGGGCUUAGCAUCAAAAUUGUAGUGUUUACACUGUUUGUGGAUCUGCCCAAUAUUCAUUUUCUGAAUCUCUGAAUGUAUAAUUUGAAUUAAUAUACUUGGGAGUUGGAGUAAUCAUCACAUUUGUUCUUUGGCCUGAAGAGCAGGUCCUGUAACAGUGGAGAAGGCCAAAUGAAAACCUUUGAAAUAUUCCAAGCCUUUCCAUCUUCCCCAUGAAGAGAGUAACUUAAGAAUGAUAUACUCCAUGGGACAUAGUAGAGAUUAAUACAUUUAAAGAUCCAAAGGAUGCAGAUGUGGUUGUCCCUAUUAGUAUCUAUUUAAUUAGCCAGGUUGGCUCUCAUAGAAACUGGAUGGUGUGCUCUCAACCGCAGACCAUGUGCUAGUGUUUGUAUCAUUGCUAAAACAGAUGAACAAUGCCCUAAGUAUAUUGUAUAUAGUUAAAAAUUUAGCAAAUGCAUUCUUUGCUAUUCUAAUUUUCAAAAAAAUUUAUACAUAGUUUGCAUUCACAUGUUAUGGGUGACAAUAUUGAUUUACAGUGUUACCUCAGUGCUACAUUAAUUCUCCUACCCACUGUCAUCAAAUAGUCCAAAAAUAUCUGGACUACAUUAACAUCUCACAGGGCAUCAUGCUGAUAAAUUACAUCAAUGACAUCUAUAUGCUGGACAAUGCAAAAGGCUGCCAAAUUUGAGUUAGGUCUAGAGCAUUAAAGACCUAAACAUAAGACCUGAAACAAUAAAACACCUAAAAGGGAACAUAAGCAGAACACCCUUUCACAUAAAUUGUAGCAAUGUUUUUCUUGACUCAGUCUCUU